rnacentral:rRNA from 1 species
AGAAUCAACGCUGGCGGCGUGCCUAACACAUGCAAGUCGCACGAGAAAGGGACUUCGGUCCUGAGUACAGUGGCGCACGGGUGAGUAACACGUGAAUAAUCUACCUCCGAGUGGGGGAAUAACUGAGAGAAAUCUUAGCUAAUACCGCAUAACACUUACGAGUCAAAGCAGCAAUGCGCUUGGAGAGGAGUUCGCGGCAGAUUAGUUAGUUGGCGGGGUAAUGGCCCACCAAGACGAUGAUCUGUAUCCGGCCUGAGAGGGCGCACGGACACACUGGAACUGAAACACGGUCAGACUCCUACGGGAGGCAGCAGUGGGGAAUUUUGCGCAAUGGGGGAAACCCUGACGCAGCAACGCCGCGUGGAGGAUGAAAUAUCUUGGUAUGUAAACUCUUCGAUGGGAAGAUAAUGACGGUACCAUAGAAGAAGCCCGGCUAACUUCGCGCCAGCAGCCGC